UUAUAUUGGUGAUUUAGCGUAAACGUAAACAAAGAAAUAAGGACAAAGUUACGCUCCAAUGGUGCUCAAUAAUUUAGCUACGUAUUAUUAUUUUAUUUUCACAAAUAAAUAUGUACUAAUAUGCAAUUAUAUAGUACUAAUUAUAUUUAGCAACAUGUUUUAAUUUUUACUUAAUAAAAAACUAAGAUUACAAAUGCUAAGCUUAAGCUUCGCUGUUUCUAUUUUUUCUUGGAUCCACAUAAUGCUUCCUUCGCCACCAAUACUCCGAAAGAUAAAAUUCAAGAGAAUCUUUAGCUUUCCUUUUCCCCACGUGUAAUUUUUUUGCUGCGCCCCAGGUGGCCUCGAUAUUAUUCGUAUUUGCUCCCGUUUCCGGGUCUUUAAAAUGUAGUUUGUGGUUAACCACAAGGUGGUCGAAACCUUCUUGAUUCAGCCUGUAGUAGGACAAUCUUGUUGAAGUUAUUACUGCAAGGCCAGGAGAGCACGAUAUGCAUCUGAAAGUUCUAUUUUCGGUUAAUACUGUUGUCUGUGGGAUUCUAUUGACUCGAGAACUAAUCGUUGGUGCUGGUUAUGAAUGUGUCUGUAAUGUAUAGUGGGGUGGUUGGUGUUAAAAGGAUGGCCAGUAUUGAGAAUGUGCUGAUAAAGGAGGGACCUGGUGUCUCGAUUGGAGAUGUUUCGAGAAUGUUCAGACAUUCUGAUGGCGAUGGGUCUACCUGUCUCGCCAACGUAUGUGGCAGAGCAUUGCUCACACGAGACAAUAGACCACGCCAACAGAAUGGAGGGGAUCCUGGGGGGCAUGCGAUUUAGUAUAUGGGUGACGGAGGGAUGUGAGCAGGUUGGAGGAGUUCUUAUAUAUGGUGUGGAUACCGUAUGUCUUGAGGCUUCUAGCUAUAUCAACUGAGGAGGGGGAGUAGGGCAGGAAGUGGCGAGUGUUGGUGUUCUUCCCACACACGGACAACAAGAAGCAGAGGCAGGGCUGGAUUGUUAACACAGAGUGAUCGGGAACAGCCCACGGGACAGAGGUAGAGGCCAUGACACAAACUUGGAUGCUUAUCACCGAGACCUGGAGGGAGAGACUGUGUGAGAGACAUAUAUAUAUUUUAGAAGAAACACGACUAAACAUUUUUGAAUAGAGUAUCGAAAUUUCUGAUUUAUUUGUGAAAAAUAUAUUGAAGCGGAUGUAUGUAAGUUUUUCUUUUAUAGCUAUUUUCAAUGUAAAGGAAAUAAAUAAUCAAGAAUGUAUGUCUCGUUAGUUUUUAUUUUUAACCAACGUCUCAUUUUUACAAAGUCGUCAUGUAAAACAAUGCUAAGUGAUGAUGAUCAUUGGAAUAAAGUUCUAUGAAAAAUUAAAUAUGAGAAUAAUAAUUUUGAGAUGUUUACAGCACGUAUCAAUAUAAUUAUAUUAAAUAUAUAAUUAUAUAUUUAUUAGAAAUUAAAUAUUUGUGUAACGGCGAGCUGGGCCCUGUCUCCGCCACACUUCUCCAGCAUGGCUUUGAUCACCUUGUUGGGGUCGAAGCCGGAGUACUGGUGGAGCUCCCCAUAUGCCCCCAACUCCAUGGCAUAGGCGGGCAUGGUCUUUGAGACAUAGGCCGCGAUCCAUGCCACGGGGUUCUCGUCGAAGCCCUUCACCUCGGCUUCCGUGGGUUUUUUUUUAUUAGAUCCACGAUCUCAGUGGGGGUCAUCUUGGAGAGGGUCUUGGCCCACUCUUCGUCGGUUUGGCCACCGCGGCCGGCCUUGGUUUUUUUCUGUGAAGACAUUCCAACUGAUUUGACUAGACUGACUAGAUGGGAAGCUAGGCUCUUGCUCUAUGUACUGCAAAAAAAUUAGUUCCCCACUUUGUGUCGUUCUAGUCAAUUGAGAAAUUCCUGAAUGGUUGAAUUUCUGGUGGGCUUCUCUAAGUAUGGUGGGUCGUAAGGAUGGCGGAACAACUAUUUUGCUCACACCACGUCUGGUGACGGUAGUCAGGCCUGAGAUUUGGUGAACAUACUUGGGAUUAUCCCGAAGCUCGCUUUGGUACAUUUUUAAUUGCGUGGCGUCAAGAAGGCCACAAAACGGAUUUCGGGGAAAAGGUCAGCCUCUAGUUGUUUGGUGCCUUUGAUGUAUUUCACCUGAUAGUCGUAGACUGACAAUCUCAAACUCCAUCGAAAGAGUCUUCCUGUUGGAUUUUUGAUGUUUUUAAGCCACUGUAAGGCGCAAUGAUCGGUGAAAAUGGUAAAAUAAUUUCCCGCCAGAUAGACCUUGAAACGAUCUACUGUUUCAAUUAUGGUCAGACACUCUAAUUCGGUGAUGGUAUAAUUGCGCUCGUAUUUGUGCAGAGUGCGGCUAUAAUAUUGUACUGGAUAUGAGUUUCCAUCUGGAGAGAUGGAGCUGUUUCAGUACUCCUCCUAUCCCUUGCAAAGAUGCAUCAGAGUACACUUGACAGGGCAAAUCUGAUUUAUAAAGAUGGAGAAUGGGACCUGAUGAAAGUAGUUGUUUGAGUUUGUCAAACGCCUUUUGACAGUCUGACGUCCAUUCCCAUUUAACGUUCUUUUUCAAAAGUUGAUUUAGAGGAUUUCUAACGCACGCAUAAUCUGGAAUGAAUUUGUUGUAAACAUUAAUGGCGCCUAGGAAAAAUAACUUAUCUUAUUUGGUGCUUUAGUUGGAUGGCUGGAAAAUUUCUUCCACUAAAAUCUUGAAAAACUACAUUUUUGGACUAAUUUCUCAGGAGCUCUGUUUGAACUCCCCACUGCUAAAUUUGGAUUCACUUCAUUUGCUUUUUUACAAUUAAGGCAAUUCGCUGCCCUCUGGCAGUCCUUUGAUAGGUGUCCAUGAGCACCACAUCUAGCGCAAUUAUGGCCUUCAGCAAUACAAGUCUUUGUCUUGUGAAAUCCAAGGCAUUUUGCGUAUCGAUUUACCAAAAAAAUUUCAAACCACUUCAAAACCCUCCACCCAAAUUUGAGGCGAAAAAUGCCAUUUUCAAGAGUAGAUUGAAUUUUUAAUUUUUUAAAUGAUAAAGAAUCAAUUGAUGCCAAAUAAUCUAUUUUAUUAUAUAUAUAUAUAUAUUUUUGCGCUAAAAAGAUUUAUUUCAAUAUUUUCAUGUUUUAAACUUGAUGAAUGACUUGAAUGAAAUUAUUGAGGGUGUCCGCAAGGUUCUUCACCUCCCCAACUAGGCACUUGAUCAUCUCUGUCCGCUGCUCAAUGAAGCAGGCAAGGUUCAGAUGAAGGGAUUUGAGGGAAAGCUGCCAGAGGGAGUGCAGGAUCUGGUAGUGGUGGGAGAUACCAUGUCCUCCUCCACCAGAGGUGCAAUGUCCACCGAGGGUUGAAAAGGCUUGGAGGGAUCCAUGAUGGGAGAGCAGAAAGGCAGAGGUGUUUCCAGAGCAUGAGCUAGCUGGAAACUGAUCUCUGAGAAACGGAUGAGAUGAUCUGAUUAUACAAGGUCAUGGAGACUGAAAAUUCAUGGAUUAAAUUUAUAAUCUUGGUAGGGUUGUAAUAUAAGUCCUGUCUUGAGGCUCCCAUACAUUCCAAGAGGUGUCCUGCAGAUGGUGCAUUGUGGGAAGACACCAACCUGGAAAAGGAGCGAUUCUUUCUAUUCCGGGUUAAUUGGCCUUUUAAAGCAUGGUCUUCAAACCCCUAUGGCAGAACGCCAUUUCCAGUUGCAAGGGACCCUAGGAUCUGGAAGCAAAGAUGUCUCGCAGGGGUGGAGGAAACGUAGAGAUGGCAGGGGAACAGCGUCUGGGAGCAGUGAGUGGCAGGAGUCUUGGCUGGGGAGGAAAUCCAGUAGGUGAGGACAGUGAAGGCAGCAGGUCCUGGAAGCUUAGAAUUUGAGAGCCCUAGACCUCAGGAAAGAGCAGCCAGAGGCUCUCGCCUCUUGUUUGUCCGGAAGGCCCUUGGCACAGCAGUUGGCACACUUGGUGGUGUGCUGGUUGGCUAGGGAUGGACAGGCACGGCCCUCGUGACCUUCUUCACCGCAGUGGAAGCACUUUGGAGCCCUGGAGCAUUGUCCGGAGUUGUGACCAAAAUAACAAUUUUGUCAUCAAAGUUCUGUUUUAGAUUAUUGAGUUUGAAAGCCAAAUUUCCUUAAUUACUUAUGUUGGCCUCAAGGUCUACAUUUGUAUCAAAUUUAUGUGUCAAAUUCUUGUAACAGCUUAAUUGUUCAUCAUCUCUUUCAAAUAUUCUGCAUAUGGCGUCAUACAUUGAUUUGGCAUUUUCAAAAUGUAUUAUGUGCUGCUCAUCCAGCCUUCAGCGCCUGGAGCACGAGGCGUACUCAAGAGGCCUGGUCAGCAGUCUUGAAUUUGGACGUAUUCACCUCCGGGCCUUCCAUCGCCUAAAGGUCAUUAGCGGUUGCCGCCCAGGUGUUAGGGACGGCAGCACCUCGAAAAAUGAAAUUCCGCCUCUAGAAUCCUGCUUAAUGUGAGGUCGUCGACUGUGGGAGCGUUGUCGAGCCCACCCUGCUCGGGAAUUCCGAGCACUUGCUCUAUAUCUAGUGGUGAGAGGUGAGAAAGUUCGCCUGGCAUACACACAUCCUGUGGUGAUCCGAGAACAUGCAUCAAAUCGUCCGCUGAAAGUUCUUCCAUACAGAUAUCUCCCGAUGGUCCGAGAUAUUGUUCCAAUUAAUUGAGCGCACUUGCCUCCAAGCGUAGACACCUAAAAAAAAAAAAUAAUAAAUAUAUAUAUCAGGUUAAUUCCAUUCCAAAUGAAAAAAACAUUAGCGUAUUGGUUAACUCCAUUGCUCUAAUGUUUUUUUUUUUUUUUUUUGUUUUUGUUUUGCUAGGUUCAAAUCUCAUUACCCGGUCCCAGCUCAUAAAAACUUUAUGAUCUUCUUCAGUAUAAUUAGGAUUCUUUCUUCUGUCAAUAAAUUUAAUUUGAAAUAAUGAAAAUUUCUUCAGCCAUUUUAAAUUUUGCCCAAAAGUUUCAAGAUUGAGAUGUUUUUUGAUGAAGUCAUUAAACAAAAAGGUUUUCUUCUGUUUCUUGGUUGUGUACAUGUGUCACAUUUGUGUGAGAACCUGGUAGGCGUGGGGUGUCAGAUGGGCUUACCACCAGAGCAUCGUGUUUGUGUCACGUGUUACACAGUGUGCAUCAGCGACCUGGUUGUUAUUACCAGGAGGUAAACAAACCUGGUCACGUGACAACGUGUGCAGAAACAUGCGCAAUAGGAUGGCCAAACUCGUCGAGACGAGUGGCAGAACAAGGACGCAUGUCACGUGACCAAACAGACAUGGGUGCAAUAACCUGGUCGAUCGCCGGGCCGCGUGGCUCGCCGCUGGUCCCCGAGUCAUGUGACCGCGCAGGCGUGAUUUCCGCUGUGUCAAGUACGAGACUUGGCAACGUGGAAAUCCCACCAGAAGCACUGUCCCGCGAACAGGGCCCAGCAGAAGUGCCAGGCCAAGAAAUUGGUGAAAUAAUUGCCUGCAUUUAAAAAUAUAUAAUAAAUAAUCAAAAUUGAUUUCUCCUCUUUAAUUUCUUUUAUUUUAUGCAGGGCUUUUCUGAACCGGGCUUUGCUUGAUUUGAAAUAAGUUGUGGACUUACCAACUUUAUGUCCUUUUACCCGGUCCCAGCUCAUAAAAACUUUAUGAUCUUCUUUAGUAUAGGUAGUAUUUUUUCUUGUGUCAAUAUAUUUAACUUGAAAUAUUAUAUUUUUCUUCAGCCAUUUCAAUUUUUUCCCAAAAUUUCCAAGAUUAAGAUGUUUUCUUAGGAAAUCAUUAUACAAUAAUGUUGGAAGAAAACGGCUCCUGGGCCGCUGGCUGAGUCGAGUGUUCUGGCUCCUCCAGGGCCGCGGUGUCGCUUCCUGGUGUCUUCUUGCUCCUCGUAGAUGGUGCGCUCUUUUGGGCCAGUUUUUCAACCGUAGAGCAAUCCUGGUGGUGUUUCUGCAGGUCUUUGAAGCUUUGUUGGCAGACCGUGCAGUCAAAAACCACGUUGUUGAUCUUGUGUAGAACACGAAGGUGCUUCACCAGAUCGUUGUGCUGCUUGUAGACACCACUGCGGGUUACUCUCGCCAUCCCGUAACACUCGGGACAUUUAAAGACCUCAGGUAGCUGGAACGGCAUCUUAAACGGAUCACAAAGAGCAGGGGCAAGGUUGUGUACAUGUGUCACAUUUGUGUGAGAACCUGGUAGGCGUGUGGUGUCAGAUGGGCUUACCACCAGAGCAUCGUGUUUGUGUCACGUGUUACACAGUGUGCAUCAGCGACCUGGUUGUUAUUACCAGGAGGUAAACAAACCUGGUCACGUGACAACGUGUGCAGAAACAUGCGCAAUAGGAUGGCCAAACUCGUCGAGACGAGUGGCAGAACAAGGACGCAUGUCACGUGACCAAACAGACAUGGGUGCAAUAACCUGGUCGAUCGCCGGGCCGCGUGGCUCGCCGCUGGUCCCCGAGUCAUGUGACCGCGCAGGCGUGAUUUCCGCUGUGUCAAGUACGAGACUUGGCAACGUGGAAAUCCCACCAGAAGCACUGUCCCGCGAACAGGGCCCAGCAGAAGUGCCAGGCCAAGAAAUUGGUGAAAUAAUUGCCUGCAUUUAAAAAUAUAUAAUAAAUAAUCAAAAUUGAUUUCUCCUCUUUAAUUUCUUUUAUUUUAUGCAGGGCUUUUCUGAACCGGGCUUUGCUUGAUUUGAAAUAAGUUGUGGACUUACCAACUUUAUGUCCUUUUACCCGGUCCCAGCUCAUAAAAACUUUAUGAUCUUCUUCAGUAUAAUUAGGAUUCUUUCUUCUGUCAAUAAAUUUAAUUUGAAAUAAUGAAAAUUUCCUCAGCCAUUUUAAAUUUGUGCUAAUGAAGUCAUUAGCGGUUGCCGCCCAGGUGUUAGGGACGGCAGCACCUCGAAAAAUGAAAUUCCGCCUCUAGAAUCCUGCUUAAUGUGAGGUCGUCGACUGUGGGAGCGUUGUCGAGCCCACCCUGCUCGGGAAUUCCGAGCACUUGCUCUAUAUCUAGUGGUGAGAGGUGAGAAAGUUCGCCUGGCAUACACACAUCCUGUGGUGAUCCGAGAACAUGCAUCAAAUCGUCCGCUGAAAGUUCUUCCAUACAGAUAUCUCCCGAUGGUCCGAGAUAUUGUUCCAAUUAAUUGAGCGCACUUGCCUCCAAGCGUAGACACCUAAAAAAAAAAAUAAUAAAUAUAUAUAUCAGGUUAAUUCCAUUCCAAAUGAAAAAAACAUUAGCGUAUUGGUUAACUCCAUUGCUCUAAUGUUUUUUUUUUUUUUUUUUUUUUUGUUUUGCUAGGUUCAAAUCUCAUUACCCGGUCCCAGCUCAUAAAAACUUUAUGAUCUUCUUCAGUAUAAUUAGGAUUCUUUCUUCUGUCAAUAAAUUUAAUUUGAAAUAAUGAAAAUUUCUUCAGCCAUUUUAAAUUUUGCCCAAAAGUUUCAAGAUUGAGAUGUUUUUUGAUGAAGUCAUUAAACAAAAAGGUUUUCUUCUGUUUCUUGGUUGUGUACAUGUGUCACAUUUGUGUGAGAACCUGGUAGGCGUGUGGUGUCAGAUGGGCUUACCACCAGAGCAUCGUGUUUGUGUCACGUGUUACACAGUGUGCAUCAGCGACCUGGUUGUUAUUACCAGGAGGUAAACAAACCUGGUCACGUGACAACGUGUGCAGAAACAUGCGCAAUAGGAUGGCCAAACUCGUCGAGACGAGCGGCAGAACAAGGACGCAUGUCACGUGACCAAACAGACAUGGGUGCAAUAACCUGGUCGAUCGCCGGGCCGCGUGGCUCGCCGCUGGUCCCCGAGUCAUGUGACCGCGCAGGCGUGAUUUCCGCUGUGUCAAGUACGAGACUUGGCAACGUGGAAAUACCACCAGAAGCACUGUCCCGCGAACAGGGCCCAGCAGAAGUGCCAGGCCAAGAAAUUGGUGAAAUAAUUGCCUGCAUUUAAAAAUAUAUAAUAAAUAAUCAAAAUUGAUUUCUCCUCUUUAAUUUCUUUUAUUUUAUGCAGGGCUUUUCUGAACCGGGCUUUGCUUGAUUUGAAAUAAGUUGUGGACUUACCAACUUUAUGUCCUUUUACCCGGUCCCAGCUCAUAAAAACUUUAUGAUCUUCUUUAGUAUAGGUAGUAUUUUUUCUUGUGUCAAUAUAUUUAACUUGAAAUAUUAUAUUUUUCUUCAGCCAUUUCAAUUUUUUCCCAAAAUUUCCAAGUUUAAGAUGUCUUAGGAAAUCAUUAUACAAUAAUGUUGGAAGAAAACGGCUCCUGGGCCGCUGGCUGAGUCGAGUGUUCUGGCUCCUCCAGGGCCGCGGUGUCGCUUCCUGGUGUCUUCUUGCUCCUCGUAGAUGGUGCGCUCUUUUGGGCCAGUUUUUCAACCGUAGAGCAAUCCUGGUGGUGUUUCUGCAGGUCUUUGAAGCUUUGUUGGCAGACCGUGCAGUCAAAAACCACGUUGUUGAUCUUGUGUAGAACACGAAGGUGCUUCACCAGAUCGUUGUGCUGCUUGUAGACACCACUGCGGGUUACUCUCGCCAUCCCGUAACACUCGGGACAUUUAAAGACCUCAGGUAGCUGGAACGGCAUCUUAAACGGAUCACAAAGAGCAGGGGCAAGGUUGUGUACAUGUGUCACAUUUGUGUGAGAACCUGGUAGGCGUGUGGUGUCAGAUGGGCUUACCACCAGAGCAUCGUGUUUGUGUCACGUGUUACACAGUGUGCAUCAGCGACCUGGUUGUUAUUACCAGGAGGUAAACAAACCUGGUCACGUGACAACGUGUGCAGAAACAUGCGCAAUAGGAUGGCCAAACUCGUCGAGACGAGUGGCAGAACAAGGACGCAUGUCACGUGACCAAACAGACAUGGGUGCAAUAACCUGGUCGAUCGCCGGGCCGCGUGGCUCGCCGCUGGUCCCCGAGUCAUGUGACCGCGCAGGCGUGAUUUCCGCUGUGUCAAGUACGAGACUUGGCAACGUGGAAAUCCCACCAGAAGCACUGUCCCGCGAACAGGGCCCAGCAGAAGUGCCAGGCCAAGAAAUUGGUGAAAUAAUUGCCUGCAUUUAAAAAUAUAUAAUAAAUAAUCAAAAUUGAUUUCUCCUCUUUAAUUUCUUUUAUUUUAUGCAGGGCUUUUCUGAACCGGGCUUUGCUUGAUUUGAAAUAAGUUGUGGACUUACCAACUUUAUGUCCUUUUACCCGGUCCCAGCUCAUAAAAACUUUAUGAUCUUCUUCAGUAUAAUUAGGAUUCUUUCUUCUGUCAAUAAAUUUAAUUUGAAAUAAUGAAAAUUUCCUCAGCCAUUUUAAAUUUGUGCUAAUGAAGUCAUUAGCGGUUGCCGCCCAGGUGUUAGGGACGGCAGCACCUCGAAAAAUGAAAUUCCGCCUCUAGAAUCCUGCUUAAUGUGAGGUCGUCGACUGUGGGAGCGUUGUCGAGCCCACCCUGCUCGGGAAUUCCGAGCACUUGCUCUAUAUCUAGUGGUGAGAGGUGAGAAAGUUCGCCUGGCAUACACACAUCCUGUGGUGAUCCGAGAACAUGCAUCAAAUCGUCCGCUGAAAGUUCUUCCAUACAGAUAUCUCCCGAUGGUCCGAGAUAUUGUUCCAAUUAAUUGAGCGCACUUGCCUCCAAGCGUAGACACCUAAAAAAAAAAAUAAUAAAUAUAUAUAUCAGGUUAAUUCCAUUCCAAAUGAAAAAAACAUUAGCGUAUUGGUUAACUCCAUUGCUCUAAUGUUUUUUUUUUUUUUUUUUUUUUGUUUUGCUAGGUUCAAAUCUCAUUACCCGGUCCCAGCUCAUAAAAACUUUAUGAUCUUCUUCAGUAUAAUUAGGAUUCUUUCUUCUGUCAAUAAAUUUAAUUUGAAAUAAUUAAAAUUUCUUCAGCCAUUUUAAAUUUUGCCCAAAAGUUUCAAGAUUGAGAUGUUUUUUGAUGAAGUCAUUAAACAAAAAGGUUUUCUUCUGUUUCUUGGUUGUGUACAUGUGUCACAUUUGUGUGAGAACCUGGUAGGCGUGUGGUGUCAGAUGGGCUUACCACCAGAGCAUCGUGUUUGUGUCACGUGUUACACAGUGUGCAUCAGCGACCUGGUUGUUAUUACCAGGAGGUAAACAAACCUGGUCACGUGACAACGUGUGCAGAAACAUGCGCAAUAGGAUGGCCAAACUCGUCGAGACGAGUGGCAGAACAAGGACGCAUGUCACGUGACCAAACAGACAUGGGUGCAAUAACCUGGUCGAUCGCCGGGCCGCGUGGCUCGCCGCUGGUCCCCGAGUCAUGUGACCGCGCAGGCGUGAUUUCCGCUGUGUCAAGUACGAGACUUGGCAACGUGGAAAUCCCACCAGAAGCACUGUCCCGCGAACAGGGCCCAGCAGAAGUGCCAGGCCAAGAAAUUGGUGAAAUAAUUGCCUGCAUUUAAAAAUAUAUAAUAAAUAAUCAAAAUUGAUUUCUCCUCUUUAAUUUCUUUUAUUUUAUGCAGGGCUUUUCUGAACCGGGCUUUGCUUGAUUUAAAUAAGUUGUGGACUUACCAACUUUAUGUCCUUUUACCCGGUCCCAGCUCAUAAAAACUUUAUGAUCUUCUUUAGUAUAGGUAGUAUUUUUUCUUGUGUCAAUAUAUUUAACUUGAAAUAUUAUAUUUUUCUUCAGCCAUUUCAAUUUUUUCCCAAAAUUUCCAAGAUUAAGAUGUUUUCUUAGGAAAUCAUUAUACAAUAAUGUUGGAAGAAAACGGCUCCUGGGCCGCUGGCUGAGUCGAGUGUUCUGGCUCCUCCAGGGCCGCGGUGUCGCUUCCUGGUGUCUUCUUGCUCCUCGUAGAUGGUGCGCUCUUUUGGGCCAGUUUUUCAACCGUAGAGCAAUCCUGGUGGUGUUUCUGCAGGUCUUUGAAGCUUUGUUGGCAGACCGUGCAGUCAAAAACCACGUUGUUGAUCUUGUGUAGAACACGAAGGUGCUUCACCAGAUCGUUGUGCUGCUUGUAGACACCACUGCGGGUUACUCUCGCCAUCCCGUAACACUCGGGACAUUUAAAGACCUCAGGUAGCUGGAACGGCAUCCUAAACGGAUCACAAAGAGCAGGGGCAAGGUUGUGUACAUGUGUCACAUUUGUGUGAGAACCUGGUAGGCGUGUGGUGUCAGAUGGGCUUACCACCAGAGCAUCGUGUUUGUGUCACGUGUUACACAGUGUGCAUCAGCGACCUGGUUGUUAUUACCAGGAGGUAAACAAACCUGGUCACGUGACAACGUGUGCAGAAACAUGCGCAAUAAGAUGGCCAAACUCGUCGAGACGAGUGGCAGAACAAGGACGCAUGUCACGUGACCAAACAGACAUGGGUGCAAUAACCUGGUCGAUCGCCGGGCCGCGUGGCUCGCCGCUGGUCCCCGAGUCAUGUGACCGCGCAGGCGUGAUUUCCGCUGUGUCAAGUACGAGACUUGGCAACGUGGAAAUCCCACCAGAAGCACUGUCCCGCGAACAGGGCCCAGCAGAAGUGCCAGGCCAAGAAAUUGGUGAAAUAAUUGCCUGCAUUUAAAAAUAUAUAAUAAAUAAUCAAAAUUGAUUUCUCCUCUUUAAUUUCUUUUAUUUUAUGCAGGGCUUUUCUGAACCGGGCUUUGCUUGAUUUGAAAUAAGUUGUGGACUUACCAACUUUAUGUCCUUUUACCCGGUCCCAGCUCAUAAAAACUUUAUGAUCUUCUUCAGUAUAAUUAGGAUUCUUUCUUCUGUCAAUAAAUUUAAUUUGAAAUAAUGAAAAUUUCCUCAGCCAUUUUAAAUUUGUGCUAAUGAAGUCAUUAGCGGUUGCCGCCCAGGUGUUAGGGACGGCAGCACCUCGAAAAAUGAAAUUCCGCCUCUAGAAUCCUGCUUAAUGUGAGGUCGUCGACUGUGGGAGCGUUGUCGAGCCCACCCUGCUCGGGAAUUCCGAGCACUUGCUCUAUAUCUAGUGGUGAGAGGUGAGAAAGUUCGCCUGGCAUACACACAUCCUGUGGUGAUCCGAGAACAUGCAUCAAAUCGUCCGCUGAAAGUUCUUCCAUACAGAUAUCUCCCGAUGGUCCGAGAUAUUGUUCCAAUUAAUUGAGCGCACUUGCCUCCAAGCGUAGACACCUAAAAAAAAAAAAUAAUAAAUAUAUAUAUCAGGUUAAUUCCAUUCCAAAUGAAAAAAACAUUAGCGUAUUGGUUAACUCCAUUGCUCUAAUGUUUUUUUUUUUUUUUUUUUUUUUGUUUUGCUAGGUUCAAAUCUUAUUACCCGGUCCCAGCUCAUAAAAACUUUAUGAUCUUCUUCAGUAUAAUUAGGAUUCUUUCUUCUGUCAAUAAAUUUAAUUUGAAAUAAUGAAAAUUUCUUCAGCCAUUUUAAAUUUUGCCCAAAAGUUUCAAGAUUGAGAUGUUUUUUGAUGAAGUCAUUAAACAAAAAGGUUUUCUUCUGUUUCUUGGUUGUGUACAUGUGUCACAUUUGUGUGAGAACCUGGUAGGCGUGUGGUGUCAGAUGGGCUUACCACCAGAGCAUCGUGUUUGUGUCACGUGUUACACAGUGUGCAUCAGCGACCUGGUUGUUAUUACCAGGAGGUAAACAAACCUGGUCACGUGACAACGUGUGCAGAAACAUGCGCAAUAGGAUGGCCAAACUCGUCGAGACGAGUGGCAGAACAAGGACGCAUGUCACGUGACCAAACAGACAUGGGUGCAAUAACCUGGUCGAUCGCCGGGCCGCGUGGCUCGCCGCUGGUCCCCGAGUCAUGUGACCGCGCAGGCGUGAUUUCCGCUGUGUCAAGUACGAGACUUGGCAACGUGGAAAUCCCACCAGAAGCACUGUCCCGCGAACAGGGCCCAGCAGAAGUGCCAGGCCAAGAAAUUGGUGAAAUAAUUGCCUGCAUUUAAAAAUAUAUAAUAAAUAAUCAAAAUUGAUUUCUCCUCUUUAAUUUCUUUUAUUUUAUGCAGGGCUUUUCUGAACCGGGCUUUGCUUGAUUUGAAAUAAGUUGUGGACUUACCAACUUUAUGUCCUUUUACCCGGUCCCAGCUCAUAAAAACUUUAUGAUCUUCUUCAGUAUAAUUAGGAUUCUUUCUUCUGUCAAUAAAUUUAAUUUGAAAUAAUGAAAAUUUCCUCAGCCAUUUUAAAUUUGUGCUAAUGAAGUCAUUAGCGGUUGCCGCCCAGGUGUUAGGGACGGCAGCACCUCGAAAAAUGAAAUUCCGCCUCUAGAAUCCUGCUUAAUGUGAGGUCGUCGACUGUGGGAGCGUUGUCGAGCCCACCCUGCUCGGGAAUUCCGAGCACUUGCUCUAUAUCUAGUGGUGAGAGGUGAGAAAGUUCGCCUGGCAUACACACAUCCUGUGGUGAUCCGAGAACAUGCAUCAAAUCGUCCGCUGAAAGUUCUUCCAUACAGAUAUCUCCCGAUGGUCCGAGAUAUUGUUCCAAUUAAUUGAGCGCACUUGCCUCCAAGCGUAGACACCUAAAAAAAAAAAUAAUAAAUAUAUAUAUCAGGUUAAUUCCAUUCCAAAUGAAAAAAACAUUAGCGUAUUGGUUAACUCCAUUGCUCUAAUGUUUUUUUUUUUUUUUUUUUUUGUUUUGCUAGGUUCAAAUCUCAUUACCCGGUCCCAGCUCAUAAAAACUUUAUGAUCUUCUUCAGUAUAAUUAGGAUUCUUUCUUCUGUCAAUAAAUUUAAUUUGAAAUAAUUAAAAUUUCUUCAGCCAUUUUAAAUUUUGCCCAAAAGUUUCAAGAUUGAGAUGUUUUUUGAUGAAGUCAUUAAACAAAAAGGUUUUCUUCUGUUUCUUGGUUGUGUACAUGUGUCACAUUUGUGUGAGAACCUGGUAGGCGUGUGGUGUCAGAUGGGCUUACCACCAGAGCAUCGUGUUUGUGUCACGUGUUACACAGUGUGCAUCAGCGACCUGGUUGUUAUUACCAGGAGGUAAACAAACCUGGUCACGUGACGUGUG